rnacentral:rRNA from 1 species
GAUGAACGCUGGCGGCGUGCCUAAUACAUGCAAGUCGAGCGAACAGACGAGGAGCUUGCUCCUCUGACGUUAGCGGCGGACGGGUGAGUAACACGUGGAUAACCUACCUAUAAGACUGGGAUAACUUCGGGAAACCGGAGCUAAUACCGGAUAAUAUAUUGAACCGCAUGGUUCAAUAGUGAAAGACGGUUUUGCUGUCACUUAUAGAUGGAUCCGCGCCGCAUUAGCUAGUUGGUAAGGUAACGGCUUACCAAGGCAACGAUGCGUAGCCGACCUGAGAGGGUGAUCGGCCACACUGGACCUGAGACACGGUCCAGCCUCCUACGGGAGGAAGCAGUAGGGAAUCUUCCGCAAUGGGCGAAAGCCUGACGGAGCAACGCCGCGUGAGUGAUGAAGGUCUUCGGAUCUUAAAACUCUGUUAUUAGGGAAGAACAAAUGUGUAAGUAACUAUGCACGUCUUGACGGUACCUAAUCAGAAAGCCACGGCUAACUACGUG